GGAUUGACGUGACGGUCGUGCCUUAAGGGGUAUGAACUGUCGCAGUUGAUUUCUCACCUUCUGGAGAAGCUUGAUGUCCUUAAUUGGGUGUCAUGUGGAACCAGGACCUUUACCUUGAAAAAAUUAGAGUGUUUAAAGCAGGCAUUUUGCUCGAAUACAUUAGCAUGGAAUAAUAGAAUAGGACGGCAUGGUUCUAUUUUGUUGGUUUCUAGGAUCACCGUAAUGAUUAAUAGGGAUAGUUGGG
rnacentral:rRNA from 1 species